GGCACCUGAUCAGCCAUGCCGCGUGUGUGAAGAAGGCCUUCUUGGUUGUAAAGUACUUUCAGCGGGGAGGAAGACACCUAUGGUUAAUACCUUUGCACAAUGACGUUACCCUGCAGAAUAAGCACCGGCUAACUCCUGUGCCAGCAGCCGCGGUAAUACAGAGGGUGCAAGCGUUAAUCGGAAUUACUGGGCGUAAAGCGAGCGCAGGCUGGCUUGUUAAGUCAGAUGUGAAAUCCCCGGGCUCAACCUGGGAACUGCAUCUGAUACUGUCAGGCUAGAGUAUCUGAGAGGAAGGUAGAAUUCCAGGUGUAGCGGUGAAAUGCGUAGAGAUCUGGAGGAAUACCGAUGGCGAAGGCAGCCCUCUGGACUCAUACUGACGCUGAGGUGCGAAAGCGUGGGUAGCAAACAGGAUUAGAUACCCUGGUAGUCCACGCCGUAAACGAUGUCUACUAGUAGGUGGUGCCCUUGAGGACUGACUGACGCAGCUAACGCGAUAAGUCGACCGCCUGGGGAGUACGGCCGCAAGGUUAAAACUCAAAUGAAUUGACGGGGGCCCGCACAAGCGGUGGAGCAUGUGGUUUAAUUCGAUGCAACGCGAAGAACCUUACCUGGUCUUGACAUAUAUAGAAUCUUGCAGAGAUGCAUUGAGUGCCUUCGGGAAUUAUAAUACAGGUGCUGCAUGGCUGUCGUCAGCUCGUGUCGUGAAGAUGUUGGGUUAAGUCCCGCAACGAGCGCAACCCUUAUCCUUAGUUGCCAGCGGUUUGGCCGGGAACUCUAAGGAUACUGCCAGUGACAAACUGGAGGAAGGCGGGGACGACGUCAAGUCAUCAUGGCCCUUACGACCAGGGCUACACACGUGCUACAAUGGUACGUACAGAGAGCAGCUACCUCGCGAUAUCAUGCGAAUCUCAUAAAGUGUAUCGUAGUCCAGAUUGGAGUCUGCAACUCGACUCCAUGAAGUAGGAAUCGCUAGUAAUCGUGGAUCAGAAUGCCACGGUGAAUACGUUCCCGGGCCUUGUACACACCGCCCGUCACACCAUGGGAAGUUGGAUUGCACCAAAGUGGGUAACCUAACCUUUUAGAAAGGCCUUACCACUUUGGUGGUUUAAGAAUGGGGUUGAAA
rnacentral:rRNA from 1 species